UACGGAGGGUGCAAGCGUUAAUCGGAAUUACUGGGCGUAAAGCGCGCGUAGGUGGUUUGUUACGUUGGAUGUGAAAUCCCCGGGCUCAACCUGGGAACUGCAUUCAAAACUGACAAGCUAGAGUAUGGUAGAGGGUGGUGGAAUUUCCUGUGUAGCGGUGAAAUGCGUAGAUAUAGGAAGGAACACCAGUGGCGAAGGCGACCCCCUGGACUGAUACUGACACUGAGGUGCGAAAGCGUGGGGAGCAAACAGG
rnacentral:rRNA from 1 species